UACGUAGGCAGCAAGCGUUGUUCGGAAUUACUGGGCGUAAAGAGUGUGUAGGCGGUUCUCCAAGUCUGGUGUGAAAUCUCCCGGCUUAACUGGGAGGGUGCAUUAGAAACUGGAAUGCUAGAGGAUGGGAGAGGUAAGCGGAAUUCCUGGUGUAGCGGUGAAAUGCGUAGAUAUCAGGAGGAACACCUGUGGUGUAGACAGCUUACUGGACCAUUUCUGACGCUGAGACACGAAAGCGUGGGUAGCAAACAGG
rnacentral:rRNA from 1 species